CCUCUGUUUUCAGCAGUGAGCCUGGGGUUUUUAAAAAGCCGACACCGGGAGUCUUCGAGAGAGCUGAUGACGGAGAAAGAGCAAAUAUAUGUUUGUUAAGAGGAAAUAACGGAAAAUCCCGUGUUUGUUUAUUUUGUCAAAGAGCCGGUCGGCUGUAAUAAAAGAGCACGUAAGUGCUUAAAUAAACUUCCUGUCUCCCGUGAGUGUGUGUUGGAAGGUUUUGGAGCAUCAUAGCAUGUAUAUAACCAACUAUAUUUUCUGACUCUUGGAAGGACAAAAACGAGUCCCGAUUACCCAUCUCACCGCAGAGAGAAGCCUCAUCUGUACCCACCUCUUCACCUGGUCUAGCAGCUGGUUAUGUGGCCCUCGUUGUGGAUCUUUGUCUCGCCGCACACGCUCCACAGACGUCCCGCAGAAAGCCCCCCCCCUUCAGAUGCGGUUAUGCAGAUUGCAUGGUUUUGGCAUUUUUCCAGAUCUGGUUUGGAGGGAAUAUUAUUCUUUAGAGGUCGGACCCAACUAUGUCCAAGGGGUGAGACAGACGCAGCACUCAUCUAAACUCCUGGGAUAAUGCAGCAGCCAUUUUUCUUCCCACACCGGAUGAAAGACGUCAGGAGCAACCGAUCUGUUUUUUUUCUGCAGUCUUGUCAUGCAGUUAACUGUCCAUCUUUUUACCAAAUGGGGGGUUUGACCUGAGGGUCAGAGGUUAGAGCCUGCUAAUGCAUUUUAAAUCUCUGCUCUGCUUUUUCUGUACAUUCCUGUUGUUUGGACAAAUGAGGGGCUCAUCCCUCUCUUUUCUGUGUGGAAAAUCUUGGCCCUGUUUUUUUAAAUAAUGCGUGUGACAGGACAAAUGCACAUUGAUGUGUCUCUGUACACAAAAAGCCCUUUUAGUUCUUCAAAAAAAAAGUUAGUUUUCCAUACUGAUGAACAACACCCAUUCUUCCCAUAAACCACUGUAAUGCUAUUCCAGAACAGUAGAGGGCACUGA